rnacentral:rRNA from 1 species
AUGGGACGUACCGCGGUCAAUCCUAUUUGGGCGAGGAUUUGGAAGCUUGCUUGUCCACGAAAGGUUAAAAUAUUUAUUUGGCGUACACUUCACGGCACUAUUCCGUGUCGUGUUAACUUAGCUAAUAGACAUGUGAAAGUCUCGCCUAAGUGUCCUGUCUGCUCAUCUGGGCCAGAAGACACAAAACACUUGUUGUUUCUAUGUGACAGAGCAAAAGAAGUCUGGAGAAGACUAGGGAUGGACGAUAUUAUCGGCAGAGCUUGUAAAAUAGACUAUGCGGGUGAGGCAAUCUUGGAAUAUUUACUUCCAUUACCAGAUCAGGAACUAUGUAUUAUGGGCACUCGUAAUGUGCGUGACAUGAUUGCCAUAUCAGCCUGGUACUUGUGGUGGGAAAGGCGCAAAUUGGUACACAAUGAGACUACUCAGAAUGCACAACAGAUAUCCAUGGGGAUACGCGCUCUCGCUGCCAAUUUUGUUAAUGCCUCCUCGCCGAAGGCUUCCAUUAAAAGAGGAGGAUGGUCUAAUCCCCCGGCGGGAUUUGUUAAACUUAUUGUUGAUGCUUCUUUUGAUCACGACCUUCUCAGGGGUACGAUCGGGGCUGUCUUAAGAGAUGACAAAGGUAGGUUCAUCGGUGGGGGAAAUGAUAAGAUUUACUGGUGUGCAGAUGUGUUGAUGGCUGAAGUUUUGGCGUUAAAAUUUAGCCUAUCGCUUGCGCAAAGGACGGGUUGUAAUCGCAUAAUUAUUAACUCGGAUAAUAUGGAGGUGAUCGAGACCAUGAACGAAGGAGGACGAUCGUCGGGGGUUCGAAUCCCUCUCUCUCCUUUUGCUUAUUGA